AUUGAUCGCUUUCUUUUACACUAUUAAUGCUAAUUGUUUUUCAUGGUGCAUGCCUUUGGGAUUCAUCAAAAUGAAUUCUUAACGAAUUUCCAAACACAAAAAUUAUAGCAGAAUAACGGAUAGAAGUAAAUCAUCCUACCAUUUCUCAAAGGCCUUCUGUUCUGAAGGGCCCGGGCAGUAUGAGGUGGAAUCACGAGUGUCUGUAAGGUUUGAGAUAUCGAUGUGAACAGCCAUAGGUGAGUGUGUGGACAUUACAACUGGCUACAGUGUUUGAGCACCUACUGUGUGCCAGGUCCUGGGCUAAGACAUUUACAAACGUUGUUUCAUUGAAUCCUCACAACAGUGCCAAGGUCAGUUUUAUUAUUCCCACUUUAUUUACUAAGAAACUGAGACCCAAAGAGGUUUCUACAUCUAUCGAGUGGAAGAGCCCAAGUACGAGUCCAGUUCUAUUUGUCUCUGAAGUGCAUGUACUUUCCGCUUGGCCACUCUCCAUGCUGAGCUGCUAUCAACAUUGCUGCAAUCAGUUCAUUCCAGGGAACUUUAUCACUAUUUCUGCCUGUCUGUCUGACUCAGCAUUAACCUUGAGCCUUCCUGCCAAAGGAGCUCCAGUCACAGCACACACCUCACGCCUUGGUCAGUCCCCUCUAGGCCAUCAGAUCAGUCAAAAGUCAUCGCUGUGCCCUCUUGUCUCUCUUGGCAAGACUACUGCUUGUCUCCCCUUAUUCCUCAGUAAUAACAUUUUAGCUUGACACGUGGCUCUAGCUAAAGACUACAUUUCCCAGAAUUCCUUGCAGCUAGGCACAGACUUAUGACUAAUAGGAAGUGAACAGACUUGAUGUGUGCCAAAUGUGGGUUCUGCCUUUAAAGAAAGAAAAAGUGCUUCUUCCCAUCUUCUUUCCAUCUUCCUGCUGUCUGGGAUUCAGGUAUGAUGGUGGGAGUUGAAGCAGCCAUCUCUAACCAUGAGACAGAAACUGCGUGGUGAGGAUAACAAAGCAAUAAGCUAGAAGGAGCCUGGGUCCCUAAUGCUAGGAGGUGCCAUCCCAGCCCUGAACUGCAUGCCUGGACUUGUCUGUGAGAGAAAAUUAAAUACCUUUCUUGUGUUUAAGAAACUAUUAUUUCCAUCCUCUGUUAUAGUAGCCAACUUUAUCCCAACUAAUGUAGCUGCCCAAGACAGUGCUGAUGGAUGUGGCAGGCUGAAUAAUGAACCACCAACGAUGUCCAUGUCCUAAUCUCCAGCACCUGUGAAUAUGUUACUUUACGUGGUAAAAGGGAUGUUGUAGACGUGAUUAAUUUAAGCAUCUUGAGAUGGCAAGUUUAUCUCGGGUUAUCCCAGUGGACUUAAUGUUUGUUUGUUUGUUUGUUUGUUUGAGGAAGAUUAGCCCUGAGCUAACAUCUGCCAAUCCUCCUCUUUUUGCUGAGGAAGGCUGGCCCUGAGCUAACAUCCGUGCCCAUCUUCCUCUACUUUAUAUGUGGGACGCCUGCCACAGCAUGGCUUGCCAAGCGGUGCCAUGUCCACACCCGAGAUCCGAACCAGCGAACCCCGGGCCACCAAAGCGGAACGUGCGCACUUAACCACUGCGCCACCGGACUGGCCCCCACUGGACUCAAUGUAAUCACAAGAGUCCUUACAACAGGGAGGCAUGGGUCAGAUAUAUAGCAAGAAAGCAGCGUGACAAGAGAAGCAGAGGGAAGCAGAGUCAGAGAGAAAAGAUGGUACGUCACCAGCUUUGAAGAUGGAGGAAGCGACCACAAGCCAAGGAAUGCAAGCAGCCUCUAGAAGCCAGAAAAGGCAAAGAAAGAGAUCCUCCAGAGAGCCUCAAGAAGGAACACAGGAUGUUUGCAUAAUCUCAAAGCAUCUCUCUACAAGAUCCUCAUUAAUUACAAAGGAGAAAGUAUUAGUUCCAUAGUUUACAGUGGAGACACCACCUUUAUCAAGUGACAUCACCAGGAAUGACACCUUGACUUCAUGCUCAUCCCAAUACCUUGCACUCAGAAGGACACCACAUCACUGCUAUAGGAUUCGUGCAAAAAUGCAUGCUCUGAAUUUGAUCAUGGGGAAACAUCCGAUAAAGCUAAAUUUGAGACAGUCCACUAAAUAACCAGCCUGUACUCUUCAAAAGUGCCACAGCCAUGAAAGACAGAGGAAGCCCAAGGACCUGUCACCGAUGAGAAGAGCCGAAAGCAGCAUCACAACUAAAGAAACUGGACCAGAUCCUGGGCCAGGAAAAGAACCCUCUCCAGGUGGUGGCAUUAGCUAUAUUUACUGGUGAGGACACUGGGGUCAAGGAGGGAAAGAAACGGAGGCCCAGAGAGGUGAAGUAACUUGCUCAAGGCCACACAGCAUUCUGUGGCAGUGUCUCCAGGAGGCUGCAGUAUUAUUCCCAGGAAUGAUAUUCCCAGUUCCAACCAUUUUGGUUGGGGCCUUGAUGACGGUGCCUUCCCGAUCCAGUUCUCAGUUCCCCCUCAGUGGCUUUCUCUGGGGCGCAGUCUCCUUCCCUACAAUGGAAGGAGUUGCCCAUCUCUGUCCCGUCUCUCCAGACGGCUGCAGCAGCCUCCUAAUUGGUCGCUUCAUGCCCAUUCUUUCUCCUCUCCAACCUCACUUGUCAGCCAAUGGUCUCUUCAAAAUAGAAGUCUGACCACGUCUUCUUCCUGCUCAACGCUCACCCCUGGCUCCCCGGGAGGCCCUGCACGCCCUGGGCUUUUUACAAACUGGUCCCUGCUGCGUCUUCCGCUCCUCUCUUCCCACUCCCCCCGCUUCGCCCUCAGCCACACUGGCUUCUGAUUGUAGCUGUUCCUCAAAAGAGCUGGGCUCCUGCCUGGUACAAGGGCUUUGCGCAUGCUUUCCUCUUAGCCUCGGACAUUCUUCCACCUUUUCCCUUUUUGAUCCUAAGUACCACUUAAUGUCUGUCUCGUCCCCUGGAAUGCCAGCGCCGUGAGGGCAGGAAGCGUGUCUGUUUUGUUUCACAGGAGCAUCAUUUAGGAGAUACCUCCCAAACGCGAGCACCCAGAGGGCCGUCAAUAAAGAGAAGCCGGACCAGCGAAUCGGGGACCCUCCGACACUGAUUCGAUGGAGUCGAUCAGAAACCGUCAAGCGACCUGGGCCCCAGAGAUACGGAGUUCCCCAGAUCUGGCUCCUCAGCACUUUCUUCUAUUAUGUGAAGAAAAACAGAACUGGAAAGAGUAACCUUAUGGAGUAUGUUCUAAGUAACACGGAACGUUCUGGAUCCAACAUCUCGGCACACUGCUCUCCUAUGGAAGCUGCUCUGGUCCUUGUCCUGGCUUUUUCAUCACAACCCACCAUGUUCAUGGAACCCAUCAUCCUGUCAACUCCCCCAGAUGAAAACAAAGAGACAAACAAACAGAAACAAGACAUAUGAUUAAACCGUCCUGCACUUCUUAUGUCAGCUCUUCAAACCCCCUCAUUAUCCAGAUGGGAAAACUGAGGCCCCAGAGAGGGUAGAAAGUAGCCUUUUAGGAUCAGGGCUUGGGCUCCGGGCCUCCUGCUGGCCAAGCUCCUGAUGCCCAGCUUUGGGGCAUUUCCUGGAGGAGCAGCUCAUCCCAGCAUGAGAGGCUGGACAUCCCCCUGGGGUACACAUAGGUGGGGGUGCCCAGUCCCAGCGCCAGCCCCAAGCUGGAACCAGAUGAAACCAUCAACAGCUCCUGUGAGGUUCCUGCACGGAAUCUAGCGCAGCGCCUCUCAAAUGUAAGGUGCACACAGAUCACCUGGGAGCUUGUCAGAAUGCAGGUUCUGACCCCCAACGUCUGGGGCGAGGCCUGAGAUUGCAUUUCUAACAUGCUCCCGGGAGAUGCUGAUGCUGCUGGUGCCUGGACCACACUGUGAGGGGUACAGCUCUAGCUCAGGGCUCAGCUGCCUCUUCCUGUAAAAGGCCAGAUAGUAUAUAUUUUAGGCUCUGUGGGCCAAGAGGCAAAAUCGAGAAUGUUACCUAGGUACUUAUAUAACAAAAGAGAAAACAAAUGUCCACAAAUUUUUUAUUGAUGAUAUUCAAAAUAUAAUGAUCAUAAUUGGAUACAAAUUUUUGGAAUACAGGUCUACUAAUGGAAAGACUGAUGUUCUGUUUUGGGAGGGGUAACAUCUCACUCACCUGGGGGUCAGAGUUACUGCUCCUUAUCAUCAAAUUGGUUGCAAAUGUUGAUCUGUAUACACUAUUCCUAGUUCUAGCGCUGUGCACAAAAUAAGUGGCAGCCUGGAUUCGGCCCCCGGGCUGGAGUUUGCCACCCCCUGCUCUAGCCCAGUGGUCAACCUGAGGUUUAUCAAAACUGUCUGGGGAGAUUUUUUUCCCCCUCUAUUCCCAUUGUGGACAAAGGACAGAGAUUCAGGGGCCUGACUGGAUGGGGAGGUUUGCUGCCCUACCAACAGCUCCCAUUCCUUCUCAUGCCUCAGUUUACCUCAGGAAGCUCUGGACAAGGUCACACCCCUGAAACAGACCUCCUGCCUUUGCCUCUAAAUAAACUUUUGUUUUGAAAUUUGCAAAGUCAGUCCAGGUGAAGACAGUUUCCUCAUGGCCGCCCCCGCGUUCCCCUUGCAUGGUGCGUGCUCACGGAAGGGGCCCUGGAGCUGCGGUCUGCCUCACUCAUUUCUAUACCCGAUCAACUGCGAAUUUUCAGACCUGAGCCAUCACAGGUCAGCCAAGAAGCCUGGUGCUCAUAGGCCACGGACAGGGCAGUAGGGAUCACUGGGGGUCAAGACUCAGGUUCUCCAGAGGCGUCUCUUCCCCUCCUGUGCCCUGGCAGUGGUAGUUUUUCUGGUCAUUUCCAGCAUUACUAGAGAACCCAGGUGUCUCCCCUUAGUCUCUGCUCUUCUUCUGAUGUGGGUCAAGGCUGUGUCGAGGCUACCUCCUCUGGUCCAGCUUCUGCUAUGAAGCAGCGAGUUCACAGAGACCCCGGCCUUCCUGCCCCACAGCUAACAAAAUCGUACAGGUGAAAACACCUGGGCCAGGUGUACUUCCAGCUCUGCCACGAACCAGCUGUCCGCUCCUUCCUUAAUUUAUGCUUCUCAUUGCUCAGCAGAGCUCACUGAGAACCUAGCAGGACACCAGGUGCUGGGGAGAGUGACAACGAGCCAGAGCCCCUUCCCCAUCGUCAAGCAGGGGCCAUUCAGCUUAAUUCAAGCUGUUGCCACAAAUGAGAAAACAUUUAUGAAAGCUGCUACUGAGCAGGAAAAUCAUUCAUCAGUCAAGAAACAGGACUGAACCCUCCCUUGAAAUCAUCGAGAACUCCCCAGACCUCACAGGAAAACAGCCAAACUCCUCGGCACUGGCUCUGAAGAUCUUCAUGGCCUCAGCUCACGGGCCUGGCGUCACUUCCUGCCAUGUCACUGGACAGUACACAGUCUGUUUUCAAGCUUUAGUUGCAAGUGGCUCAACCAACAGGGAAGUUGAUUAUAUCACAUAGCAAGGAGUUGGAGGUAGGUGACGGUAGGGCUUGGUUACUCUAGAAGCCCAGUCGUCACCAAAGACUCCAGUGUUCUCCAUCUUUCUGCUUUGCAAUCCCCAGUGGGUUGGCUUGGGCCUUCAGUGGAUUUAAUGUGGGUCCAAGAUGGCUCAUGUGGCCCUGGGUAUCACAAACUCACCUGGCUAUGUCCAUAGAUAGAUACUUCAACUUGAAUGUCUCUUUUUAUGGGGGAGGAAAACCUUUCCCAAAAGUACUCCCCUCCCUUGGAUCAGACCAGCAGCAUAGUAGUUAAGUUCAUGGGUUCAGAUACCAGGUGUGGACC
ensembl:lncRNA